rnacentral:rRNA from 1 species
UACGGGGGGGCAAGCGUUGUUCGGAAUUACUGGCGUAAAGGGCGCGUAGGCGGCCUGCUAAGUCGGAUGUGAAAUCCCGUCGGCUCAACCGAGGAAGUGCAGUCCGAAACUGGCGAGCUUGAGUACGGAAGAGGGUCUCGGAAUUCCCGGUGUAGAGGUGAAAUGACGCAGAGUAUCAGGAAGAACACCCGUGGCGAAGGCGGCUCUCUGGGACGGUACUGACGCUGAGACGCGAAAGCGUGGGGAGCAAACAGG